rnacentral:rRNA from 1 species
CAGCAGCCGCGGUAAUACGAAGGGGGCUAGCGUUGUUCGGAAUUACUGGGCGUAAAGGGCGCGUAGGCGGUCAUUCAAGUUAGAUGUGAAAGCCCUGGGCUCAACCUAGGAAUUGCAUUUGAUACUGUUUGGCUUGAGUUCGGGAGAGGUGAGUGGAAUUCCCGGUGUAGCGGUGAAAUGCGUAGAUAUCGGAAGGAACACCUGUGGCGAAAGCGGCUCACUGGACCAUUUCUGACGCUGAUGCACGAAAGCUAGGGGAGCAAACAGGAUUAGAUACCCCCGUAGUCCCUGUCUCUUAUAC